AAAUUGUGAGUUCUCUAUCUUGAAUUAUGACCUAAUCACCUAUCAGCUAGCUGAUGUCAAAGCUCCAUGGACCCUACCAUAAUUUAUGUGUUUUUAUCUGGGCAGUCCAUCAAUUUUGCCAGCCUAUUUUAAGGCAUGAGCCUAAAAAUGAAGCAGAUCUAAACCUGAAGUGGGCCACACCACAGGAAACAGUGGGGAUUGAAUGCAUCCAAAACUCUAAUGGGCCACAAAACUGUGGGGAUGAAAAAACUUACCAUUGACACUUCCUUGGGCCCACCAUGAUAUUUAUAUGACAUCCAAACUGUUCAUACAGUUUCAAUUAUACACGUAAGGAUGAAGAGAAAACAUAAAUAUUAAACUGAUACAAAACUUCAGUGACCCUAGGGAAGGUUUCAAUGAUAAGAGGUCAAUCAUCACUUUUUCCUGUGGCAUGGCCCACUUCAGUCUAGGGUCUGUCACAUUUUUAGGUGAGCUGGCCAAAGUCUUGGCCCACUAAGAUGGCUUCUAUAAAGGAACAGAUGAUACAACUUCAAGAUGCACAAAAAGGAGCAGAGGUCACCAAGCUACAUACACAUUUCUUUUUUCUUUUUCUUUUCCUAGUAAGCCCAAUUGAAGGAAAUAAGAAGGAAAGAAAAAGAGUAGAAAACUAGACCCUAACACUAUUGACCAACUUUUGCUUUAAAGUGCUUGUUAGCAUUCCCUUUCUAUGAAAUUUUGCUUAACGUCAAUCUCAUCAAAGUAACAAGAUUUCUAUGCAGGCACAUAGAAAUCUUGUUACAACAUUCCUAUACAUGCAAUAAAUUCCUGUUUGACAGAGCUCAUAGUCGUGGCGGAAGGGAAUAAAUUCCAGUCACCACCGGUCUUCACCUUUGCCAAUCAAGCAGGCCUGGACAUGCUGGAGACAACACUGUUGGCUUUACAGGACAUAGCACUGGUUAAGAUAUUUGAUGAGUCUGGACAGAAAGCUCUAUGCUCCGAAUUUGCCAAAAUAAUGCAACAGGUUCUGAUUUCGGUAUCGAAAACCAAUCCCAUUCUCCAACCAUCCAGCUAAGAUAUUGCAGCAUGGCAACUGUUAUUGGACUAUGUUUGCGAGUUAAGUUGAUGCGCUGUUUCCC